ensembl:lncRNA
AUGUGUCUGCAACUCAUCGUAGUACAUCCUACUCAUGAAGAUGGGUGCUGCUGUGUGACUUUAGAAGCCUGGAUGUGCCUUGAAGAAAUGCUGAAGGACUCGGUGGCCUCUGCAGUUCAACCAGGACUCGUUUUAGGUUUGGCCGAACACUCAAACAGUGUUUUGCCCUGUCUCCAGAACCCCAAUGGACAGGAUUGUUAAUGACUCUCUGUGUUGGAAAUCUCACCAGGAAUUUGGCUCUGGAUGGAUUCGGCGUGCACCAACGUGCCCUGACUGUUUGACUGACUGAGGGUGUGGGUGGUAUUGUGUUGUGCAAUGUAGGGUCAAGGUUGUGGAUAUUGUAGCUUAGAUCGUAGAAUGCCGGCAUGUUGUUAGUUGGAGUUGAGCUUGUGGAUUAGUUGAUUAGUUUUGUGGUGGUUGAGGUGUGGUUUUUUGGUGACUUGACUGGGACUGAGAGCAAGCAACCAACCAACCAAAAAACAACCAAAAAAGGAGCAAGGAAUGCCAAAUGUGUCGCACAACAGGCACCAAGGAUUUCUCAAUGUAACCAUUGUGUGGAAACGGUGACAGCAAGGAGACAUUGUGGACAAAUGAAAUACAAACAUACUCAAACACGGUGUUGGAACAGAGCAGCACAUGACUGCUAAAGUAAAGAGCAAGGAUGGAAAACGCAGUUGUAACUACAAACGAGCAAUGCUAUCAGCAAACGCAUCCAAACCUGAAUCAAAGCUGUGGACAACAGGGAAAUAAUUUCAAAACAACAAUGUACUUGCACAAGGGAAUUGUGGAAAUGCAAGUACGGGUUCUGUGACCAACAUGAUAUUCAAAUGUGCUGGGGUGCUGGGUUUUGGAAUCUCAGCACUUUC